rnacentral:rRNA from 1 species
AUAACAUGACCUCCUGGUUUUGUUAUUAAAGAAUUUCGGUAGAGGAUGGGGAUGCGUUCCAUUAGGCAGUUGGCGGGGUAACGGCCCACCAAACCUUCGAUGGAUAGGGGUUCUGAGAGGAAGGUCCCCCACAUUGGAACUGAGACACGGUCCAA